rnacentral:rRNA from 1 species
CCUACGGGAGGCAGCAGUGGGGAAUAUUGGACAAUGGGCGCAAGCCUGAUCCAGCAAUGCCGCGUGAGUGAUGAAGGCCUUAGGGUCGUAAAGCUCUUUUACCAGGGAUGAUAAUGACAGUACCUGGAGAAUAAGCUCCGGCUAACUCCGUGCCAGCAGCCGCGGUAAUACGGAGGGAGCUAGCGUUGUUCGGAAUUACUGGGCGUAAAGCGUACGUAGGCGGUUAUUCAAGUCAGAGGUGAAAGCCCGGGGCUCAACCCCGGAACGGCCUUUGAAACUAGGUAGCUAGAAUCUUGGAGAGGUCAGUGGAAUUCCGAGUGUAGAGGUGAAAUUCGUAGAUAUUCGGAAGAACACCAGUGGCGAAGGCGACUGACUGGACAAGUAUUGACGCUGAGGUACGAAAGCGUGGGGAGCAAACAGGAUUAGAUACCCUGGUAGUCCACGCCGUAAACGAUGAUAACUAGCUGUUCGGGCACUUGGUGCUUGAGUGGCGCAGCUACGCAUUAAGUUAUUCCGUCCGUGGGUAGGUACGGUCGCGAGAAUUAAACUACAAUAGAAUUAGACGGCGUGAGACGUGCCGACGGACGACGACGAGGGAGGUAGG